rnacentral:rRNA from 1 species
AACGAACGCUGGCGGCAUGCCUAACACAUGCAAGUCGAACGAGAUCUUCGGGUCUAGUGGCGCACGGGUGCGUAACGCGUGGGAAUCUGCCCUUUGGUUCGGAAUAACAGUUGGAAACGACUGCUGAUACCGGAUGAUGACGAAAGUCCAAAGAUUUAUCGCCAGAGGAUGAGCCCGCGUAGGAUUAGCUAGUUGGUGUGGUAAAGGCGCACCAAGGCGACGAUCCUUAGCUGGUCUGAGAGGAUGAUCAGCCACACUGGGACUGAGACACGGCCCAGACUCCUACGGGAGGCAGCAGUGGGGAAUAUUGGACAAUGGGCGAAAGCCUGAUCCAGCAAUGCCGCGUGAGUGAUGAAGGCCUUAGGGUUGUAAAGCUCUUUUACCCGGGAUGAUAAUGACAGUACCGGGAGAAUAAGCUCCGGCUAACUCCGUGCCAGCCGCCGCAGUAA